rnacentral:rRNA from 1 species
UUUGAGAGUUUGAUCCUGGCUCAGGACGAACGCUGGCGGCGUGCCUAAUACAUGCAAGUUGAGCGCUGAAGGUUGGUACUUGUACCGACUGGAUGAGCAGCGAACGGGUGAGUAACGCGUGGGGAAUCUGCCUUUGAGCGGGGGACAACAUUUGGAAACGAAUGCUAAUACCGCAUAAAAACUUUAAACACAAGUUUUAAGUUUGAAAGAUGCAAUUGCAUCACUCAAAGAUGAUCCCGCGUUGUAUUAGCUAGUUGGUGAGGUAAAGGCUCACCAAGGCGAUGAUACAUAGCCGACCUGAGAGGGUGAUCGGCCACAUUGGGACUGAGACACGGCCCAAACUCCUACGGGAGGCAGCAGUAGGGAAUCUUCGGCAAUGGACGAAAGUCUGACCGAGCAACGCCGCGUGAGUGAAGAAGGUUUUCGGAUCGUAAAACUCUGUUGGUAGAGAAGAACGUUGGUGAGAGUGGAAAGCUCAUCAAGUGACGGUAACUACCCAGAAAGGGACGGCUAACUACGUGCCAGCAGCCGCGGUAAUACGUAGGUCCCGAGCGUUGUCCGGAUUUAUUGGGCGUAAAGCGAGCGCAGGUGGUUUAUUAAGUCUGGUGUAAAAGGCAGUGGCUCAACCAUUGUAUGCAUUGG